UACGUAGGGGGCGAGCGUUAUCCGGAUUUACUGGGCGUAAAGCGCGUUAAGGCGGAUGGCCAAGUUGGCGGUGAAAUUUCGGGGCUCAACCCCGAAACUGCCGCCAAAACUGGUCGUCUAGAGUAUGGGAGAGGAAGGUGGAAUUCCGGGUGUAGUAGUGAAAUGCGUAGAUAUCCGGAGGAACACCAGCGGCGAAGGCGGCCUUCUGGCCCAUAACUGACGCUGUAGCGCGAAAGCGUGGGGAGCGAACGGGAUUAGAUACCCCGGUAGUCCACGCCCUAAACUUUGUGCACUAGGUGUUGGGUGUAUUGACGCGCUCAGCGCCGUAGCUAACGCAUUAAGUGCACCGCCUGGGGACUACGACCGCAAGGUUAAAACUCA
rnacentral:rRNA from 1 species